rnacentral:rRNA from 1 species
AAAUUGAAGAGUUUGAUCAUGGCUCAGAUUGAACGCUGGCGGCAGGCCUAACACAUGCAAGUCGAACGGUAACAGGAAGCAGCUUGCUGCUUUGCUGACGAGUGGCGGACGGGUGAGUAAUGUCUGGGAAACUGCCUGAUGGAGGGGGAUAACUACUGGAAACGGUGGCUAAUACCGCAUAACGUCGCAAGACCAAAGAGGGGGACCUUCGGGCCUCUUGCCAUCAGAUGUGCCCAGAUGGGAUUAGCUAGUUGGUGAGGUAACGGCUCACCAAGGCGACGAUCCCUAGCUGGUCUGAGAGGAUGACCAGCCACACUGGAACUGAGACACGGUCCAGACUCCUACGGGAGGCAGCAGUGGGGAAUAUUGCACAAUGGGCGCAAGCCUGAUGCAGCCAUGCCGCGUGUAUGAAGAAGGCCUUAGGGUUGUAAAGUACUUUCAGCGGGGAGGAAGGUGUUGCGGUUAAUAACCGCAGCAAUUGACGUUACCCGCAGAAGAAGCACCGG